UCCUCUUCUCGGCCUUUUGGCUAAGAUCAAGUGUAGUAUCUGUUCUGAUCAGUUGUUUCAUGCUGGUGGCAGGCGACGGCAGUGUGGAGGUGGUGGGGAUGGGUGCUGCAUGGUAGGGAGCAGGUGUACCGGGGCGUUCCGGGGCUGGUUCUGAGGAAUCAGCUCGACGGCUGCACCGAUAUGACCUGUU